rnacentral:rRNA from 1 species
GACGAACGCUGGCGGCGUGCUUAACACAUGCAAGUCGAACGGAAAGGCCCUGCUUUUGUGGGGUGCUCGAGUGGCGAACGGGUGAGUAACACGUGAGUAACCUGCCCUUGUCUUUGGGAUAACUUCAGGUAACUGGGGCUACUACCGGAUAGGAGCUCCUGCUGCAUGGUGGGGGUUGGAAAGUUUCGGCGGUUGGGGAUGGACUCGCGGGUUAUCAGCUUGUUGGUGGGGUAGUGGCUUACCAAGGCUUUGACGGGUAGCCGGCCUGAGAGGGUGACCGGGCACAAGGGGACUGAGAGAGGGCCCAGACGCCUACAGGGGGCAACGGGGGGGAAUAUUGCACAAUGGGCGGGAGCCUGAUGCAGCAACGCCGGGGGCGGGAAGACGGCCUGCGGGGUGUAAACCGCUGUCGCCUGUGACGAAGCGGUAGUGACGGUAAUGGGUAAAGAAGCACCGGCUAACUACGUG